GGAAGAUGCGCGGUUGCAAGGACCGUGUCGGCCGCUACGACUCGGCCAGGGCCGGGAGGCAGGGGGCCAGCGAUCCCCUCCCGGGGGACCCCCAGCCCUGGUGAGGUGGGAGCGGGUGCCCCUCCGAGUCCGCCCCGGCCCCGCCGGCCCACCCCGGCCGAGAAGUUGGCUCUGGAAGCGGCCCGUCCUCAGCCCUGGGCUCUGCUCGGGGAGGAAAGGAGGGUUAAGGGGGAGGGGAGCUAACGGCGGAGAUAUGAGGGGCUGGGGGGAAGGCCCCCCCUCCCCCGGAGUCACAGCCAUCGUCCCUGUUCCCUCUCUGCUGCUCCAGCUGCUCUGCAAAAAGGGCCGGAUCUACUGUGCCAGGAACCCGGCGGCCGUACCGAGCCUCCAGGAGAGCGCAGGAGAGCCGCACAUGUCAGCGCGAGGGUCCCGGAGCUUGCACUUGUCAGGUUCCUCCGGGAUCACGGCGUCUUUGAGGACUUUUCCCUGCCUGCGAUCCCUGUCUCUCACUAAGCUGAGAGGGACUAUCGAAAACGAAAAAGAAGAAAAAAGCCAGAGACCCCAGAUCCAUGGUUGUAGGUGCGCACGCAUGCGCCUCAGAGACCUGCUUGACUCAUGUCCUUUAUACCCCUUAAGAGGCAUGCUGGCACUUUUACACAUUCACUGGGCAUAAAUGGGGAACACCUGAAGCCACCUGGUGCCCACUCUCUGGAGGACAGGGACUUCGCUCAUUCCAUGGCACACCAUUAUCUUCUUGAGGAGACAGCACCUCCAAAAAGUCAGUGCUGACCUGGCCGAGCACUCCUCCUCAGCUCUGCACUGCUGCUUUGCCAUUAUGUCACGACUGAUCUCUAACUCUUCCAUCUUUAACUGGAAAACAGAAUGGAGGAACAUCAUAUGACUAUUAGCUCUUAACAAACUUCAGCCAAAGAAGUCUGAACGUGUAAUAACACCUGAACUGCAUAUUGCACUGAAGAAGCAAGUUGAUGACUUGGAAAACUAAAGCCUUGGGCUCCCUCCUGCAAUAAAUAGUUGCAAUGUUCCAUGUUUGGAAAAAGAAGGACAACUAACCACAGCAAAAUAUGCAUGCGCAUGCUUUGCUUUUUUCUCCUUAGCUAGAAAAUUUCCAACGCUGCCUUUGAAAUUUCUAGUAAUCUGCCAUGCUGUAACAAGGCUGUUGCGGCCACUAUUUGUUGUUAAGCAGAACCAAAAGAAGUCCGUCUCCCAUGAGGGUCUUACACACCUUUAGCCUUGCUGGAAGAACACCAGUAACAAACAGGGGCUGUGAAGCCAAGUAGUUCAUCAAGGACCAGUGGAGCUGCACCGCUCUCCCUUGAACACUAGUCAAGUCCAAUGGCUGAGUACUAAGAAUUAAAACCCCAGAACGACUGUGAAAAGGUCAGAGGCACAGCGUGCCUGUGGAGCUAUGACAGACGGUUACUACAGCCUCAUGACCACACACCCAACGGUCUGUCACAUCAGCAGAUACUUUGUUUACCUGGGACUUUUACAACUGGAAGGAAGCAAUGAUACGUUCUCAGGAGACUGGUGAUCUAAUAACAGUUUUCAACCUGGAAAGGUUGCAACUGAAAAUUUUGUAUACACUCAAACAUUUUUGGGCCUCUCUUGUAGAUCUCUGUACAGUGAUUUUCAGCCAAAUGACAAUCGGCUUGCUUUUCUUAGUUACUUUUUUAUAUAGCUUAGAUGUAGUCCACCCACCUCUGUAAGUCAAAAACUAAAGACAUUCCAAUAGAUCUCUUCCACACCUUACUAUCAAAUCCACAACUUAAAAUUAAAAAAAACCAGCUUAUUAAUGAAUUUUCAUAGUAGUGAUCACUACUUUGAUGAUACUUCCGCAUUCUGUUAACUUUAAUCUCCACUAUGAGAGCAAUGUACCACCACACUGUAUUAUUUGCAUUGCACUCUGCGGGGCUAAGACAAUAUUCUGAUGCCUCGAUGCUGCAGGUUGGCCUUUCAAGAUAGAUACUCCUGAGCAACCCUGCAGCAACCGUAGGAUGAGUGAAUCUACUUCUGUCUGCAUCUCUCAGUAUCCUAUUGCUACGUGGUGCUCACAGGAUUGGGAAGAAAGUCUGCAGAGAUAAGGACUGCAGUUUGGAAGGGCUUCUCUUUGUUUCACUGUCUGAGCUUGCUUGCUGAGGCGGCACUAAUUGCAGAACAAGGCUUCAGCUCAGGGGGCCUCACAAGCAGAGCUGCCUGCUCCUGAAGCUUAAUUCCCUGAUUCACGACCUUGGAACAGCAGGGACAGGGGAGAAGAGGGAACACAUCCGACAGUUGUUGCAGUGAGGAUGGCAGAGUGGCCCGAGGGUUCAGGACAUAGAUCCUGUCCUCAGCUCUAUUUUCUGCUGGAUGUCAGCUGUGGGCAUCUCACAAAAUCUUUUCCUGGACUUGAGUUUGACUCGUAAUGGUGAAGAUCAAGUACUUUGAGAUAUUUGGAAGACAGAAAAUCCAAAAACAUUUUGUAGCAUUUCAUUAUUAAAUAUAGGACUAGACAAACACCUCUGAAUUUUGUUAUUAUUCAGAUAGAUAAAUAUAGAGCUGGUUGCACUGAGUCCCUUCUGUGUUUUUCUUCUGUGAAUAUUAUAGCAAGUGACAUGUAAUGUGGAAUGAGAAAAAAUGGAAAAAGAGGUAAAAGGAACAAUUUUAUACUUGUAUCAGAAACUGUUCACAGAAAAAUAUUUUUGAUUGUUAUUUGCAUUUGAGGUCUGGCUUGUCUGACAGAAAAAACACAAUGUGAUUUUACAGUAAAAAAUAGUAAUAAAAAACCUGAUACAAAGUCCA